rnacentral:rRNA from 1 species
GACGAACGCUGGCGGCGUGCUUAACACAUGCAAGUCGAACGGUAAGGCCCUUCGGGGUACACGAGUGGCGAACGGGUGUGUAACACGUGGGUGAUCUGCCCUGCACUUCGGGAUAAGCCUGGGAAACUGGGUCUAAUACCGGAUAGGACCACUGCCUGCAUGGGUGGUGGUGGAAAGCUUUUGCGGUGUGGGAUGGGCCCGCGGCCUUUCAGCUUGUUGGUGGGGUGAUGGCCUACCAAGGCGACGACGGGUAGCCGGCCUGAGAGGGUGGCCGGCCACACUGGGACUGAGAUACGGCCCAGACUCCUACGGGAGGCAGCAGUGGGGAAUAUUGAACAAUGGGCGCAAGCCUGAUGCAGCGACGCCGCGUGAGGGAUGACGGCCUUCGGGUUGUAAACCUCUUUCAGCACCGACGAAGCGCAAGUGACGGUAGGUGCAGAAGAAGGACCGGCCAACUACGUGCCAGCCGCCGCCGUAAUAC